rnacentral:lncRNA from 1 species
UGCUGUUCAUAUUAGAUUAAUAACAAGUCUGUUAAAUUCCCGAACUACAGGCUGCUGACUUUGGACAGGCACAUAUGAAAUGUGGCGGGUUUAAAUCUGUUUUCUGGCGAUCAACACUCCUCUCCCCUCGGACAGUAGUAUAACAGCACAAUAAAAGAAAAAACAACCAAGUAUAAAUCAGUUCGAAAAGUUUCACUGAUCAUAUCGACAUUUAGCACAAACAAUAUAUUGGCAAAAGACACAAAGUGUCGACGUAAGAGAACUCACUGUCACUUAAAACAUUGUUUAAUCCAUCAUUUUCA